rfam:Nippostrongylus brasiliensis genome assembly, scaffold: NBR_contig0019104
ACAGUGGUAGCACAGUGGUCAGUGCGGUCUGCUGGAAAUAGAAAGACGCGGGUUCAUUCCCCGUCCGAUGUC